UAUAUACUAAUUCUCAGUUAACUGUUCAUCGGCUUAGUAACAGUGCCGGCUCGAGCCGAGCCGUUAAUGUGAAAAGACCAUUUUGCCCUUCGUCUGUUGGAAUAAUUACGGUUUGCUGUUUGACCUACCUAUAAAAUGUGCUGAACUGAUAGAAGCGAUCUUUUUCCUCUCUCUUCGUUUUUCAGCUGAGUUCUGCGUUCUAUUGUUGACAGAGAGUGAGAGAGAGGGAGAGGGUUGGUAACAGUGGGGGUUUCGGAUUCUCGGUUUCGAUUGAGCUGGCAAUCUUUUCAUCAAAUCAGACGAUCCGAUUGAGCAAUCAUAUAUCUUUGAGACUUUGAGCUUCAGAUACAUCAGGAGAAGUCCAUCGCAAUAUGACAGAUUGGAAGGUGCAUGCAUGUGAAGGUAUGUGGGUAUGUGGGUUUAUCUAGCUGUGUUUGGUUUGGCAUUUGAAUUUGGUUUUGUGGGUGAUUUAGCAUUUUUUUUAAUCUGGGUUUUGUGUGGGUUUGCAUUAGAGCUGUGUUAUGUGGAAUUAGAUAUGGGAAGUAGUUAGAUUUAGCAAAUCGUGUCAUGCAUCUGUUAGUAUAUAUCAUUUUUUGCUUUGUUGUUAUUUCUGCGAGCAAUUUUUCAUUUGGUGUCUUUAUGAACACUUCUUUUUUCUUCUUUUUUUCGUUCCAGGUGUAGCAUCUUUCUUAUUCAUACUGUAUUGGAUUAUUGUAUGGAGUUGAUUCUGUCUUAUUUCGAUGAGGUGAAGAAGGUAGGUAACUCAGAGAAAAGGAAGAGGGGGACGGGAACAAUCGCUUUGGCAUCGUUUAUAUUUGAAGUUUGAUCAUGUCUAGCUCAUAAUUGUUGAAUGGAAUCAUAUAUCCCAAUUUCAACUGUACCAAUGAUAGCACAGUGAAACAAAUGUUCAAUUGAUAGGUGUAUCAAUACGUAAUGGAAGAGAAAUCCUUUUAAAGGACGAUUGGAGAAGGUUAGAGGAGCCUUAUGGAAGUAUAUUCAUAACUAUUCCAACUGUUCUUGAUUCAUCAUUGGCUCCAGCAGGGCACCGUAUUCUUCAUAUUUACGACCUCUUCCAUUGAAGACUGGGAGGGACUUCUCUCGAAAGGACUAUGAAUCAAAGGAGCUUAUGGCAGAUGUCAUCAUUAGCAGAUUAGAGAAGAUACUAUUUCCAGGGCUUAAGUCAUCCAUCGUUUUUAAGGAGGUAAUGCUUACAGUAUUGAUUCCAAUCAUUGUGAGCUAUGGGUGUUGAUUCGUAUUGAAUAAAGGGUUGGUUGAAACUUGAACUUAUUGUGGUUUAAGUAAACUUACAAUUCCUGUAUCCAACUUCCUUUUGGCACAUUGCAGUAUUAAACAUGUCCAUUGCUCUGGCUAUUGCUAUUUGGGAUAAAAAAAAAAAAUUAUUUCCUUUUUUCAUUAUGAAACUUGCCUCCUUUAUAAUUUCUGACUUUUACUGUCUCUUUUAUAAUUUCUUACUUUCACAAUGACAGGGAGACCAACAUUGAAUCAGCAACACCAUCGACCAAAACCAUCAACAAAGAAAAAAUGGACUGAAAUGUCAUGACACUUUUGGUGUAAAUAGAACUGGAGGAAGCAACUUUUUGGACAACCUCCACCACUGAUCAUCACUAGCUAACAACUUCUUAGCACACAUAUAUGCUAAUGGAGAUCAUCACUUAUUUUUGGCAAGCAGAUUAGGCAUUCAUUGUAAUUAAGUUAGCCUACAAGUAGAACAACUUAUUUUUGGCAAGCUGUUCCAACAGCAACUGUAACCUGUUUUUGAACACUAGAUUUUAGUAAAACAAGCUCUUAACGAGA